UCUCAUCUGCCAGGAGUGGUGGGGGUGGUUUCAGGUGGCCCCCCAGAAAGCAUGAAUGGCCGUCGUCCAUCUAGCUGGACAGGGAGUAUUGUUUGCUUCUGACCAGCUUUGGAUACCUUUUUCAAGGUCUGUGAGCUGCAAAGGAAUUAUCUAUGCUCUGUGCACAGGUGGCAAGAUGGAUUGGACCCAAGAUGUCAGAAGUGAAAUCUGGAUGCAAAUUUGGAAGCCUAUGCUGUGAAAAAAUGCUAAAUGAUGACUGUGUGCGGAUCCAUGUGAAACAACAGAAUGCUGGUCCACUAUAUGAACUAAUGCACUUGGAUGUAUGCCCUUUUCCCGCUCUCCCCACCCUUCAUUCAAUCAACAGAUAUACCACAGCUCUUUAUUUGAAGGGAAGGACCCAAAGCAACCCUCCCUCCCUGUAAGAAGCACAUUGGAACGUAGCAGGCAAGAAUGUAAGCUUCAACCAUCAGAAUAUGGGUUUGGGUUGGGAUAGAAUGAUUGGGAGGGAUGUUACCAUAGCUGUUGGGGUUUUUUGAAUGACCACACAUCCUAUCUCUUUUCCAUUCAAUGCAUACUUUGUGGGUUGGCUGCUGUGCUCUCUGACCUGGUGGUACUAUUAAUCCCAAGUUGAUUCAUAAAAGUAAAACAAUCAUGGGACGUGGUGGCGCUGCGGGUUAAACCGCAGAAGCCUCUGUGCUGCAAGGUCAGAAGACCUGCAGUCGUAAGAUCGAAUCCACACGAUGGAGUGAGCCCCCGUCGCUUGUCCCAGCUCCCGCCAACCUAGCAGUUUGAAAGCAUGCAAAAUGCAAAAAUGUGAGUAGAUAAAUAGGUACCACCUUGGUGGGAAGGUAAACGGCGUUCCGUGUCUAGUCGCACUGGCCACAUGACCACGGAAGAUUGUCUUUGGAAACGGAGAUGAGCACCGCCCCCUAGAGUUGGACAUGACUGGACAAAUUGUCAAGGGCAACUUGUUUUCAAAUGGGUUUGCGCUCAGUGGUAUAGCGGAAUCAGGACCGGAACAGA
rnacentral:lncRNA from 1 species